GACAGAGGGUGCAAACGUUGCUCGGAUUUACUGGGCGUAAAGCGCGUGUAGGCGGGCGACUAAGUCGGAUGUGAAAUCCCUGGGCUCAACCUAGGAACUGCAUUCGAAACUGGUCACCUAGAGUGAUGGAGAGGAAAGCGGAAUUCCCGGUGUAGAGGUGAAAUUCGUAGAUAUCGGGAGGAACACCAGUGGCGAAGGCGGCGACCUGGGUAGAUACUGACGCUGAGGCGCGAAAGCGUGGGGAGCAAACAGG
rnacentral:rRNA from 1 species